UACGUAGGGUGCAAGCGUUAAUCGGAAUUACUGGGCGUAAAGCGUGCGCAGGCGGCUUUGCAAGACAGGCGUGAAAUCCCCGGGCUCAACCUGGGAAUUGCGCUUGUGACUGCAAAGCUGGAGUGCGGCAGAGGGGGAUGGAAUUCCGCGUGUAGCAGUGAAAUGCGUAGAUAUGCGGAGGAACACCGAUGGCGAAGGCAAUCCCCUGGGCCUGCACUGACGCUCAUGCACGAAAGCGUGGGGAGCAAACAGG
rnacentral:rRNA from 1 species